GACGAACGCUGGCGGCGUGCUUAACACAUGCAAGUCGAACGGAAAGGCCCUGCUUUUGUGGGGUGCUCGAGUGGCGAACGGGUGAGUAACACGUGAGUAACCUGCCCUUGACUUUGGGAUAACUUCAGGAAACUGGGGCUAAUACCGGAUAAGAGCUCCUGCUGCAUGGUGGGGGUUGGAAAGUUUCGGCGGUUGGGGAUGGACUCGCGGCUUAUCAGCUUGUUGGUGGGGUAGUGGCUUACCAAGGCUUUGACGGGUAGCCGGCCUGAGAGGGUGACCGGCCACAUUGGGACUGAGGUACGGCCCAGACUCCUACGGGAGGCAGCAGUGGGGAAUAUUGCACAAUGGGCGGAAGCCUGAUGCAGCAACGCCGCGUGCGGGAUGACGGCCUUCGGGUUGUAAACCGCUUUCGCCUGUGACGAAGCGUGAGUGACGGUAAUGGGUAAAGAAGCACCGGCUAACUACGUG
rnacentral:rRNA from 1 species